CAGCCGCCGCUGUAAUACGAAGGGUGCAAGCGUUACUCGGAAUUACUGGGCGUAAAGCGUGCGUAGGUGGUGGUUUAAGUCCGUUGUGAAAGCCCUGGGCUCAACCUGGGAAUUGCAGUGGAUACUGGGUCACUAGAGUGUGGUAGAGGAUAGUGGAAUUUCCGGUGUAGCAGUGAAAUGCGUAGAGAUCGGAAGGAACAUCUGUGGCGAAGGCGACUAUCUGGGCCAACACUGACACUGAGGCACGAAAGCGUGGGGAGCAAACAGGAUUAGAUACCCCGGUAGUCCCUGUCUCUUAUAC
rnacentral:rRNA from 1 species